GUAUAAAUAUUAACUCCAAAAGUAGACUGCUUAUUAUUCUGUUUAUAUUCAGUGAUUACAGCGAGUUUGCAGAAGUUUCUGGUGAUACUUUCUAUAUAUAUUAAAUCUGUAGAUAUUGUGGAACUGAUUACAGUUACUCGUGCUAUAGUUUUUGCUUUUAGGCACCUUUAUUCAGCAGAUCUGUAACUGUGGUCUCUUCAUCAUUGCUUUCUAGCUAAGAACCUUCUCUUUUCUUCUGCUGCUAAAAGUGCCGUAGAAUACGACCAGAAUGGAUGAUGAAUACCUUGAUGAGAAAACUGAUAUUUAACAUGUCUGAUUCCUUCUCUGCGUUUUGGGGAGGGAGAU
rnacentral:misc_RNA from 1 species